rnacentral:tRNA from 1 species
AAUUAUAUAGCUUAUAUAGAGCGAUUUACUGAAGAUAAAUGAAGACUAGAUCUUUAUCAUGA